CGAGCCUCUUCUCCCGUCACAGUGGUUCCCACGGUUGUCUUAGAAACCAGUCCCCGAGGCUUGGCAAAGCAGGAGCCCUUCGUGGCAGUGCUUGUGUGUCGGAGCUCUGAGGCUCCGGCCUGACCUCUCCUCGGGGUCGACGGGAACGUCUCCGGAUGCCAGGACUCGCAAAGGGCUGACAAGAAUGAGGAAAUCCCAGGCGGAGUCCGGGGGAGGCAGCACGGCAUCCCAGCCUCAGGGCUGCCCGGACGGUGUUGGUUGGGGGUCGACGGGAACGUCUCUGGAUGCCAGGAGACGCAAAGGGCCGACCAGAAUGAGGAAUUCCCAGGCGGAGUCCAGGGGAGGCAGCACGGCAUCCCAGCCUCAGGGCUGCCCGGACGGUGUUGGUUGGGGUAAGAUUGGGGAAGAUGCCAGGUGAUAGAAUCCACCCUGCCUCUGACAGCAUCCAAUCUGGAGCAAAGGCUUAUUUCAACCCUCCCCCAAGCUCCCAAUACAAGCCCAAAUUCUGGAACAGGUCCUUUCCAACACCUCCUUCAGAGAAGCUCCCUGGCUCCAGGCAGUGCUUGCUCCCCUCACUGCAGCAGGAAGCCUAACUUGCGAACUGCAGGUGUGCUCCAGGUGGUCACUGGAUGCAAGAAAUGGUGCGAGAACUUUGGAUGUGGAACGUGGAGGAGGAGGAACACGAAGUGGGGAUCUGCACUUGGGGUGGUCAGCACUGCGGAUGCCCAGCAAAGUCACUGCCUGGUCCACAUCCCGGAGGGGUCUCUGCGCCUCAGUCGGCAUCGCAGCUGAUGGUGAAACUUUUGGUGUGGCAGAAGAGUGUCCACAAACUUCGGAAGUUGCUAGAGAAAACUGAAAACUACUAGUUUUGAAAGCCUCACUUCUGCCAAUGGAAGCACAUUCCAGCAUGUCGCCAACGCAAUCCACUUUCCACCACUUUCACAAAAAACGUUACUGCACAAUUAUACUAUCCUACCCUUAUAUACUUUUUGUGUGUGUGUGUACUUGUAUGUAUGUAUGUUACAUAGG
rnacentral:lncRNA from 1 species